rnacentral:rRNA from 1 species
GACGAACGCUGGCGGCGUGCUUAACACAUGCAAGUCGAACGGUAAGGCCCUUCGGGGUACACGAGUGGCGAACGGGUGAGUAACACGUGGGUGAUCUGCCCUGCACUUCGGGAUAAGCCUGGGAAACUGGGUCUAAUACCGGAUAGGACCACUGCCUGCAUGGGUGGUGGUGGAAAGCUUUUGCGGUGUGGGAUGGGCCCGCGGCCUGUCAGCUUGUUGGUGGGGUGAUGGCCUACCAAGGCGACGACGGGUAGCCGGCGUGGGAGGGUGACCGGCCACACUGGGACUGAGAUACGGCCCAGACUCCUACGGGAGGCAGCAGUGGGGAAUAUUGUACAAUGGGCGCAAGCCUGAUGCAGCGACGCCGCGUGAGGGAUGACGGCCUUCGGGUUGUAAACCUCUUUCAGCACCGACGAAGCGCAAGUGACGGUAGGUGCAGAAGAAGGACCGGCCAACUACGUGCCAGCAGCCGCCGCCG